CACUCCUGCGGGAGGCAGCAGUGGGGAAUUUUGGACAAUGGGCGAAAGCCUGAUCCAGCAAUGCCGCGUGAGUGAAGAAGGCCUUCGGGUUGUAAAGCUCUUUUGUCAGGGAAGAAACGGUGAGAGCUAAUAUCUUUUGCUAAUGACGGUACCUGAAGAAUAAGCACCGGCUAACUACGUGCCAGCAGCCGCGGUAAUACGUAGGGUGCAAGCGUUAAUCGGAAUUACUGGGCGUAAAGCGUGCGCAGGCGGUUUUGUAAGUCUGAUGUGAAAUCCCCGGGCUCAACCUGGGAAUUGCAUUGGAGACUGCAAGGCUAGAAUCUGGCAGAGGGGGGUAGAAUUCCACGUGUAGCAGUGAAAUGCGUAGAUAUGUGGAGGAACACCGAUGGCGAAGGCAGCCCCCUGGGUCAAGAUUGACGCUCAUGCACGAAAGCGUGGGGAGCAAACAGGAUUAGAUACCCGAGUAGUCCCAUGA
rnacentral:rRNA from 1 species